GGGCUUGUGGUUUAGUGGUAUAAUUUUCCCUUAGCAUGUUCUCCUGUUAUAAAUCACGGGAGUAUCGUGGGAAAGGUCCUGGGUUCGAUUCCCAGCAAGUCCA